CCAUCCUCUCCAUCAAGCAUACAUAGGAUAUGCCAGUCUAUCUGGAAUAUUGAUCUCCGACUCAAUGCUCUUAUGACAAAAAAUAUUUAAGAUUAGAAUUUUAGGGUUUUAGGUCUCACUAGCAUGACCCAUUCAUGUCUCCUAAAAUUAUUACCCUAAUAUUUGGAGUUCAUCAUAAUCAUAGACAUAAUAAGAUGCAGCUAAAA
rnacentral:lncRNA from 1 species